UACGUAGGUGACAAGCGUUAUCCGGAAUUACUGGGCGUAAAGCGCACGCAGGCGGCGCAUUAAGUCUGACGUGAAAUCUCCUGGCUUAACUGGGAGGGGUCGUUGGAGACUGGUGUGCUUGAGGCGAUGAGAGGGGUGUAGAAUUCCCGGUGUAGUGGUGGAAUGCGUAGAUAUCGGGAGGAAUACCAGUGGCGAAAGCGACACCCUGGCAUUAGCCUGACGCUCAUGUGCGAAGGCGUGGGGAGCGAACGGG
rnacentral:rRNA from 1 species